GUGUCAGCAGCCGCGGUAAUACGGAGGGGGUUAGCGUUGUUCGGAAUGACUGGGCGUAAAGCGCGCGUAGGCGGAUCAGGAAGUUGGGGGUGAAAUCCCGGGGCUCAACCCCGGAAUGGCCUUCAAAACUCCUGGUCUUGAGUUCGAGAGAGGUGAGUGGAAUUCCGAGUGUAGAGGUGAAAUUCGUAGAUAUUCGGAGGAACACCAGUGGCGAAGGCGGCUCACUGGCUCGACACUGACGCUGAGGUGCGAAAGCGUGGGGAGCAAACAGGAUUAGAUACCCUAGUAGUCC
rnacentral:rRNA from 1 species